CCACUGCGUUUUUCUUUUUUGCCUCUCUCUCUGUGUGCGUGCUUGAUUUUUAGUUUGUAUUGAGCUUCGCCCCUCUCUUGAUUGCGUGUGGUGGAUUACCAAGUGCCCUCCUGCUUCCCAGUCUAACGCACUUACAUACACUCGCGCCCGCACCCACACAGAGACGCACAUAUAGUAGCACAGCCUGCACGGGUGCCGGACCGCCUGUCCCUAUUCCGAAGAUUCUCCCUACUCUCUCGGCACACGCUCACGACGACACAGGGGGGGGGCGUGUUCCCUGUCGAGAGUCGCUCGUUCACGGGGUAGCCGGCAGCUGACGCUCGUCAGCUUUGCACACCCCUGUCCUGUAGAGCGUGCAUCGCUGUCUCCCUCGCCCGUCAGCCGUCUCUCCUUGACACGCUCCUGUGUUUUCUCUCGUUGCAUAUAACCCUGCUGGUUUUCCCCUGCCGUCCGUCUAUUCCUCCUCACAGAUCCGUGCAGUCUCGCUAUUCAACGAAACAAAAUGAUGCGCCGCGCAUUGAGUGGUGCCGUCGCCGUCCGCGCGUCGGCGAUGCGCAGUUAUACGGACGCCCGCACGAUCCGCAAGCCGAACCCAUAUGACCAGCUCGUCAACGCCGAGAACCAGCACUACGUGGAGGAUCUCAUGCGACAGUACGAGGCUGACAGCGCUCUUGUCGAUCCCAGCUGGGUGCCCGUGCUGGAGGCAAUUCGGUCCGGAAGUGACGAUUCUCCGGUUGUGGCGACGUUCAGCCGCCCGACAGACGCCAAGUCAUUGUCGGAAAAGCAGCGCCACGACAAUAUGCGCCUUUCGUGGAUGAUCCGCGAAUACGAGCGGUUUGGCCACCAUAUGGCGAACGUGGACCCGCUCAGCGGCUACCACGCCGAUAAUCGUAUCCUGGGAUCUCGCACACUGGCGCCGGAGGAGUUCGGCUUCACCAAGGAUGAUCUGACGCAUGUCUUCAACGUCACUUUUGGCGCCAGCCACGAGGCGACCUUUGUCAGCGGUGGCACUGCCAUGACGCUGCAGCAGAUUAUCGAUCAACUCCGCCGGCUCUACUGUGGACCGAUCGGGUUCGAGUUCAUGUCGUCGGGCUUCUUCGAGCUGCGCAACUGGUUCCGGCAGGAGGUCAUGGACUCCCUGCAGCCCUUGCCAGCCGAGGAGCGUAGGCUUUACUACAACGACGUCGUGAAGGCCUGUGGCUUCGAGAAGUUUCUGCAGUUGAAGUACGCCACAAAGCAUCGCUUCGGCCUCGACGGCGGCGAGGCGCUCAUUCCGGCCUUGAAGGCCGCCAUCCUCACGUCGAGCGACCUCGGCGUGCAGAGCACGAUCAUCGGCAUGGCACACCGCGGCCGCCUGAAUGUCCUGGCGAACGUGCUGCGCAAGUCCCUGCGCGCCAUCCUCAACGAGUUCGAAGGCCGCGUGGCGAUCGAGGAUGCGCACCUCACCGGCGACGUCGAGUACCAUCUCGGCAAGCGCAAGCACGUGAAACUGCCAAACAACAAGUCCAUCGAGCUGGACCUGCUGCCGAACCCCUCCCAUCUCGAAGCCGUAAACCCGCUGGUGCUGGGUAAGGCGCGUGCGCGGCAAAUCUACACGAACGACGUGGAGUGCACGGCGGUGCUGCCGAUCCUCAUCCACGGCGACGCCGCAUUCGCCGGUCAAGGGUCGUGCUACGAGACGAUGGGCUUCUGCGAGCUAGAAAACUUCCACGUCGGUGGCACGCUGCAUUUGGUCAUCAACAACCAGAUUGGAUUCACCACCAACCCGAAGGACUCGCGCGCCAGCGCCUACUGCACCGACCUGUCAAAGGUGAACAACGCCCCCGUGAUGCACGUCAACGGUGAUGACGUGGACGCGUGCGUGAAGGCGGCCAAGAUUGCCGCACGCUUCCGCCAGCAGUUCCACCACGACAUCAUCAUCGACCUCGUCUGCUACCGCCGCUACGGACACAACGAAACCGACCUGCCCGACUUUACCCAGCCGCAGCUGUACAACCAGAUUCGCCAGCACCCCAGGGUCGUAGACAUUUACACCAAGACCCUCAUCAGGGACGGCGUGCUGACGGCAGAGGAGGCCAAAGCGAAGGACAAGGAAUGGGAGGGCGUCCUGCGCCAGGCGUACGACCGCAUGAACAGCGCACAGAACUUCGUGAAAGUCAUGCCCGUGUUUGACCCCGAGAGCGAGAACACCUCGGCCGAUUUGUCGUACGCGAAGAUCGCUGCCACACGUGUGCCGCCGCCGGUUUCGGCGGUGGACACCGGCGUCGAGACUCAGACGCUACGCAUGGCCGGCUUGCGCCUGGCGUCGAUCCCGAAGGAGAUGCAGAAGCCGCACCCGGUGGUGGAACGGACGUACGCGGCGCGCAAGAAGGGCACGGAGCAGGGGGACGCAAUCGAGUGGUGUCAGGCAGAGCUCAUGGCGUUGGCGACGCUCUCAAUGCAAGGGGUGCCGAUCCGGCUGACUGGCGAGGAUGUCGAGCGCGGCACCUUCACCCAGCGCCACGCCGGCAUUACGGACAUGAAGACGAACCUCAAGUACUUCCCGGUGAAGACGCUGUCGCCUUCGCAGGCCCUCAUCACAAUCUCCAACAGCUCCCUCUCUGAGCUCGGCGUCUGCGGCUUUGAGAUGGGGUACAACAUGGAGAACACCCGCUCCAUCACCAUUUGGGAGGCCCAGUUCGGCGACUUCGCUAACGGUGCACAGGUGAUCUUCGACCAGUUCCUCAGCUGCUGCGAGGAGAAGUGGAAUGAGCACAGUAGCCUCGUCCUGUCGCUGCCGCACGGCUACUCGGGCGCCGGCCCCGAGCACAGCUCUGCUCGCGUGGAACGCUUCCUGCAGCUGAGCGACGACGGCGACCGAGUGCCAUCGGACUUUCGCCACUUCCCCAACGACCAGGCGCUCGAAAUCCGCAUCCGUCGCCACAACUGGCAGGUGACCUACCCCAGCACUCCGGCGAACUACUUUCAUCUUCUGCGCCGCCAAGGACUCCGCGAAUUUGCGAAGCCGCUCAUCAAUUUCUUCUCGAAGGCGCGCCUGCGUGCGCCGAACCUAUCAAAGCUGUCCGACAUGACUCAGGGGACCAGUUUCAAGGCGGUCAUUGACACCGCACGCGCCAAGGACACGGUGGCCCGCAAGGUCGUGUUCUGCUCUGGCCAAAUCGAGAGCAUUGUGAAUGAUGCAAAGGCCGCCAGGCAGAAGGAGACGCCAGGCGUGCACGACGACGUCGUCCUCGUCACAGUCGAGCAGCUGGCUCCGUUCCCGUGGGAACAGGUGGCGGAUGUGAUGGAGAAGUACGCGCAGCGUAACCUCAACACGGAGUUUGUGUGGCUGCAGGAGGAGCCACGCAACAUGGGCAUGUGGACGCACAUGCGGCCCCGCAUGAACAGCCUGAUGCACCAUCUCGGCCUCAAGCAGAAGCGCAUUAACGUCGUGAGCCGCCCGUCUGCAGCUUCGCCGUCCACGGGCUACGGCUCCGUGCACGUGGCGGAGGAGAAGAAGCUUAUCGCGGAAACCCUCGCAUGAAGCGUGUGAGAGCGCUCACGCGUGACGGCGCUUCAUCUUGCUGGCGACUCCCCUCUUUGGCUUCGGUGCGGGCGUCUCUCUUUGCUCCCUUUCCGGUAUCAGCCCCCACCCACACUCUGCCAACUCCGCCAUGCCUCUGCGUGCUUCUUUCGCAUGUGCUUGUUGUUUUCGGCCCUCCCCGCUCCUCUCUCCCCUUGAUGAUGUGGUCGCUCGCCUGUUGACGGGUUCCACGUUUCUUUUUGGGUGUGCACCCUUCCCCCUCCCCACCACCGACACCUUUUUUUCUCACGCAUAUUUCAUGAACAAUUUAACGUGCGUCUGCGUGUGAGAGUAAGGGUGCUACUUUUUUGUUCUUGUGUGCCGUCUGCUUGGCUGUCCUCGUCUUUGUCCGUUCUCGUUGAAAGGUAAGGGGUGGGGGAAGGGGAGCACUCUCCGUGUGCUGGCGGUGAAGCUGGAACGCACCCACACAGGCACACAGGCACACAGGAAAAGAGAGAGGUCGGCGUGCCCCUGUUGCCCAUCACACACCCCACCCCGUACCCCUUACCCUUCAACGCACACCCACACACAUCAUGCUGCCUACGUUUGCUUUUACGUCGAUCUGUGACGUGUUUGGCGCAUGGGCGCUGGGAGAGGGGCAUAUGUCUUUGGAUAUGUUGUUGUAUUUUGUUGUGCUGCUUAAAGGGAGCGAAGCGGAUGGACGAUGCAUUGAUGUCGCCGGUGCUUUCUUCUGCCAUCCCCGUGGACAUCUUCUGAGCGAUCUUUGUUGUUCUCAGGCGGUGCUCUUGUACCCCCUCGUCGCAAAAUGAGUGUGACCGGACCCCAUCCCGUGUCAACACAAUUGCCAUGAUUAGGCGCGCCAGCACGCACGACGAUCCUCCCCGAGCUUGCUUCCCCGGCUCGCGGAUCGAUGUGAAGCCCCUCUCUCCCUCUCUUCUUCUUCCCUCCUCAUGUAAUAUUCGAACGGUUCAAGCGAAAACGACGUCGUACUGAACGUCUCUCUCUGGUCUCAUCUGUUUAAACGUUGGUGCGUUGUGCGCGCGUGCGUCAUCUCGGACGGUGGCACUACAUUAUGGGCGUUGUUGCGGUUGUUGUUUUUUGAUGCCUCCCCCUCCCCCUCCCUACCCCCCUCUGCCGGGGUCCUUCACUCUUCUUCCUUCGACGCGUAUGUUGCGCGUACGUGUUAUCGAGCCCAGGCAUAGGCGUACACAACAGUGCAACGCCGUGGUCCUGUGAGUUCUCUUCAAGGCGGAGGGGAAGUGGGACGAAGAGAACUGACGGCUCGAGCGGGCCCCGGAGGAAGGGAGCGGUGGAGAUUGCUAUGACUGGGAUGGCGCUUGUCGCGGUGUUGAUUCCGUCCUUUGGCCGUGUUUCCCUCUCGACUCUUGUGUUUCCUUUUCCACGUAAUUACAGAAGACUCCUGUGGACUGCAAUGUGACAGUGGCGACGCACACAGGCGAUAAUGAAGGCUGU
rnacentral:misc_RNA from 1 species